rnacentral:lncRNA from 1 species
AGCAGCCCAGGGACCUGAGACCAGCGUUCUCAAAUGAAGCCAGAUCUGCUGUUAGAGGAGAAUUCUUCUGUCCUAGCUGUGUCUCUGUGAUCUGUGGAUGAGGGUGGGAAAGCACCACUCAGUCAAUUGGGGUGUACAAAAUGGAGUUUGAGAAGGUCUCACAUCCAGGUUGUUUUGAAGCAAAGUCCAAGCAUUGUAUCACUUCAUCUGCAAAUAUUUCAAUAAGUACCCAAAAGGUCCAGAUUGACUGCAAGAACAAAUCAGCAAUCCUGAGAGGACCCACAGGCCCUCUGAAGGAAGCAGACUACUCCUGCAGGACCUGGGAGAUACCCUGAAUACUUGGUUGGACUGAGUCCCAUGAAGCCAGAUCACUUCUGACUGCAAGGAGCUUGGAAAAGCAAGUAUCUGGAUCUUUUACCAGCUAAAUUUGGAGCGAUGAGGCUUCCUCUUUGAAGAUCACAGGUGAGAAGAUUAGGUGCUUUCUCAGAAGCCCAGCAACCUGAUGGGAGUGUGGAGUGAGCAAGACCCAAAUCGGAGCUUCAUCCCUGCAUGGUUCAUUUUGCUUAUUUGGCAAACUUGCCCUGCAGGCAUCCAAUGGCAUUACACCUCAGCCAGAGAAGAAGCUCUUAAGAGAUCAGGUGCCU